rnacentral:rRNA from 1 species
CAAUAGCGUAUAUUAAAGUUGUUGCGGUUAAAAGCUCGUAGUUGGAUUUCUGCUGAGGACGACCGGUCCGCCCUCUGGGUGAGCAUCUGGCUCGGCCUUGGCAUCUUCUUGGUGAACGUAUCUGCACUUGACUGUGUGGUGCGGUACCCAGGACUUUUACUUUGAGGAAAUUAGAGUGUUUCAAGCAGGCAUACGCCUUGAAUACAUUAGCAUGGAAUAAUAAGAUAGGACCUCGGUUCUAUUUUGUUGGUUUCUAGAGCUGAGGUAAUGAUUAAUAGGGAUAAUUGGGGCGAUUCGUAUUAACGCGUCAGAGGUGGAAUUCUUAGAUUGCGUUACGACGAACUACUGCGAAAGCAUUUGCCAAGGAUGUUUUCAUUGAUCAAGAACGAAAGUAUGGGGAUCGAAGACGAUUAGAU